rnacentral:rRNA from 1 species
CUACGGGCCGCAGCAGUGGGGAAUAUUGGACAAUGGGCGCAAGCCUGAUCCAGCCAUGCCGCGUGAGUGACGAAGGUCUUCGGAUUGUAAAGCUCUUUGGUGGGGAAGAUAAUGACGGUACCCACAGAAUAAGCCCCGGCUAACUUCGUGCCAGCAGCCGCGGUAAUACGAAGGGGGCUAGCGUUGUUCGGAAUUACUGGGCGUAAAGCGCACGUAGGCGGAUUUGUUAGUCAGGGGUGAAAUCCCGGGGCUCAACCCCGGAACUGCCUUUGAUACUGCAAGUCUUGAGUCCGGAAGAGGUGAGUGGAAUUCCUAGUGUAGAGGUGAAAUUCGUAGAUAUUAGGAAGAACACCAGUGGCGAAGGCGGCUCACUGGUCCGGCACUGACGCUGAGGUGCGAAAGCGUGGGGAGCAAACAGGAUUAGAUACCCUCGUAGUC